rnacentral:rRNA from 1 species
UACGGGGGAUGCAAGCGUUAUCCGGAAUCAUUGGGCGUAAAGCGCCUGUAGGUUGUUUAAUAAGUCUGUUGUUAAAGACUAGGGCUCAACCCUAGAAAAGCAAUGGAAACUGUUAGACUAGAGUAUGGCAGGGGUAGAGGGAAUUUCUAGUGUAGCGGUGAAAUGCGUAGAUAUUAGAAAGAACACCGGUGGCGAAAGCGCUCUACUGGGCCAUUACUGACACUCAGAGGCGAAAGCUAGGGUAGCAAAAGGGAUUAGAUACCCCUGUAGUCCUAGCCGUAAACGAUGGAUACUAGAUGUUGUAUGUUAUUUACAGUAUCGUAGCUAACGCGUUAAGUAUCCCGCCUGGGCAGUACGCUCGCAAGGGUGAAACUCAAAGGAAUUGACGGGGGCCCGCACAAGCGGUGGAGCAUGUGGUUUAAUUCGAUGCAACGCGAAGAACCUUACCAGGGCUUGACAUACUACAGAUUCUUUUGAGAGAGGGAAGUGCCUUCGGGAAUGUAGAUACAGGUGGUGCAUGGCUGUCGUCAGCUCGUGUCGUGAGAUGUUGGGUUAAGUCCCGCAACGAGCGCAACCCUUAUUUUUAGUUACCAAUUCGUUGGGUUCUCUAGAAAGACUGCCGGUGACAAACCGGAGGAAGGUGAGGAUGACGUCAAGUCAGCAUGCCCCUUAUGUCCUGGGCUACACACGUGCUACAAUGGCUAAGACAAAGAGUUGCGAGCUCGCGAGAGUAAGCUAAUCUCAUAAACUUA